UACGAAGGGGGCUAGCGUUGUUCGGAAUUACUGGGCGUAAAGCGUAUGCAGGCGGAUCGUUAAGUCGGGGGUGAAAUCCCGAGGCUCAACCUCGGAACUGCCUUCGAUACUGGCGAUCUUGAGUCAGGGAGAGGUGAGUGGAACUCCGAGUGUAGAGGUGAAAUUCGUAGAUAUUCGGAAGAACACCAGUGGCGAAGGCGGCUCACUGGCCCGGUACUGACGCUGAGAUACGAAAGCGUGGGGAGCAAACAGG
rnacentral:rRNA from 1 species